GCGGGCGUGGCGGAAUCGGUAGACGCGCCAGGUUUAGGACCUGGUGACCGCAAGGUCGUGGGGGUUCAAGUCCCUCCGCCCGCA
rnacentral:tRNA from 1 species